ACUUGCUUGUGUUCUAGACAUCAGGGUGUUUGGUCUCAUCAGUACAUUUCACUAUCAGAGAUUGUUAAAGUACUGGCCCUCAGCUCCUACUUGACCAACUUCUUAAUCUCUUGAUUAUAUAUUGACUGCUAUACAAAUAAUACUCCACUUUACAUAGAAGGGAUCUGAAGAUGCGAGUUUUACUUAUAAAACUGUGGCACCAAAGACACAGCUGGAAGAUACAACCGUGUCCCUGUGCAACUGGACAUCUGAGCUUUAGGAACAUGGUCAGGACAUGACAACUGACUGGCUGGCCUCCUGGGGAUUCCACAGCUACAAUGGCUACCAUAAUCAGGUGGGCUGGGGGGCUUCUGGCUUUUCCAAUACCCUUAUCCCGCCAUGGAGUGAAGAUGCUGUAGAAUUGCCCACAGAGCAGAAAAGCAUGUGUUUUAGCCACUAGCAAAGCAAAUGCCAAUCUCUCCCCUUCCCUGCCCAUCCAAUCAGUUGAAAGUCUUGAGUGAAAAGACUGAGAACCCCCGGAAGGAAGGAAUUCUGUCUUUGGACUCAAGACUAUAACAUCAACUCUCCCUUGGGUCUUCAUCCUGCCAUACUCAUUUCAUGCUAAUUCCCACCACACCAUUGUAUGAGACAAUUCCUUAAAAUCUCCCCUGUCUCUCUUUCUCUCACACCCUCCACCCCCCAUCUCUCUCCUAUGGUGCUGUUUCUCUGGAGGGCCCUAACAAAGCAGGAAAGGUAGGCAUGGAAACAAUGGGUAAAAUAAUAUGCCUGAAAUUUUAAUAAAUGUUUCAUUUUCCUAUUAUUUCUCCUUCUUCCCAUCCCUCAAGCCAAGCUGCUUGGUACUCAGUGCCCAUUGCUUUAAGUUUAGAUGUUAACAGAAAGAAAUGAAUCUUUCUGACUUUGGUUUCCAAAAACCUAAUAGCCCUUAGAGAACUGUAGAAGACUUUAUUUAGAACUAAAAUAUUUGGGAGAUGUGGAGUUUCAGGGAAGCCUGUUUCCUCUGGACUAGGAGAGAUCCCCCAGGCAUGUGGAAGGGUAGGUGAAGGAGACAUGAAGUGGCCAGAAAUGUUGUCAGUCCUGAAGAUCCAGUGGGGGGGUGUGGGUCAAGAGAAGGCAAGACCCCGGCUACAGAAUGGCUAUGCAAUGAGUCUGGACAAAUAGUUCUUUCACAGAGUUCUUAUACUAUCUCCAGGCAGAGAGUCCUAUCUCCCAAAUGAGACAUGAAAGUCACAAUGAGAGCCUACUACUACCUGUGAAGGGGCAAAAAGACUAGGAACUCCUUUCAGCAGUGACCUACAUGUCUCCAUGGCCUAUAAUUAGGAGAACAAAGGAUGUUUCGGCAGUUGACACCCUUGUAGACAGGUGGCUCAAGACCAGUGGGCCUUUACCAACACAACGACCUGGCACAACCUAAAUGUUAGGAAGUCAGACAACACCAGAGAAACUCCAAGUUGGCUGAGUAAGUUUCCACCACUUUAUAGAAUGGAAACUCAAUAGUUUAGAGAAAAAUAUGUCUUAGUCAUCUAGAUUGUGACAAGCAACACACAAGAAUGGGAUGGCUUUGGGGAAUUGAAAGAUGGUCAUGAGGGUGGAGCAUGGUGAGUGAGGGGAAGGUAGCCCCAGAUGAGGUUGCUAAUAUGGGCAGGGGUCAGAUUGUGUAGGACUGCACAGAGCAUGUCAGAGAAUUCGUAUUUUAAGUGAAUUGGAAAAUGUUGAAGGAUUGCAAGCACUGCUCCAUUUUUAAAGAUCACAUUGCUGCAUGGGGAAGGGAUAGCCUGUGUGCAGGUUGGCAGACUAGUUGAGAGGCUAUUGCAGUCUUCUAGGUGAGAGAAGAUGGUGGUUCAAACCAGACUGAGGGCAGUAGAGUGAGUGGAUGGAUCCUUGAAAUGUUUUCGUAGUGGAAUAAACAAGAUCUGGCCAUUGGGGGGAAUUUGGGGAGUGAGGCAAAGUGAGGGGGUCAAUAGAACUCUCAAGUUUCUGUUCGAGCAAUGAGUGGAAAAUGAAGCCAUUUACUGAAGAAAGGAAAUCUGGGGAGAAAACAAGUGUAUGUAAAGGAAUCCAAACUUCUGUUGUGGACAUAAUAAGUUUGAGGUACUCGAGAGACAACCAAAUGGGAAUCUCCGGAAGGUGUGAAUGGUGCAGAGCACAGAGAACACGUCUGGGUUGGAGAUGGGAAUAUGAAUGUCACCAGCUAGACUUUGCUGCUUUUUGUUUUGUUUUGUUUGCCUUGAUCCUACACCUGCCCAACUCCCAUUCACCCUUCAGCUCUCAGCUUUAACAUCGCUUCCUCAGAUGUGCCUCCUCUGAGGCAUGAAUCAGUAUAAAUCAGUGUGAAUCAGCCUCUCCACUAGACUCGCUCUCUAUUUAAAUGCUUUCUUCAAAGCACUUAUCAUGGUUUGAAACUAAAGACUUACGUUGGCUCGUUCUUUAGGAAUGAAUCUCAGACCAUGAUUAAAAUCUCUAGAAAAAAAGGAUUUUAUUUUUCUAUAAAGAAAUCAUUUGGGGCUCUAAAUUUGAGGAAGAGAAGCAGGUAGGAAAGAAAAGAGGGCCCAGAGCUGAGUGUAGAUAAAUUGCCACAUUUCCGGGUCACACAGAAGGGAAGAAGCUGACGAAACCAGCCAAGAAGGAGAUAGGAAGAAAACAAAGAGUCCGGGCUGCCACGGAGAAGAAAGAUGGGAGAGUCUCAGGAACUAGGGUGUGUCCCUGUAUCAAAGACCGCUGAGAAGUCAAGCACGCAAAGCCUGCAAUGACUAUUGGAUUUACAACAUGGUGGGCGUGUGGUCUUUGUAAGAACAGUCUGGGUGGAGCGGUGUGGGUAGAAGGCAAGCUGCAGUGAGGAGAACAAAUGGAAAGGAGGAAUGGGAGAGAAUAUGCGAAGACAAUCGUUCCAAGGAGUUGUGUUGUUGGGGGAGAGAGAAGCAAGGCAGUAGCCCCAUCUCCUGGGGUUAAAGGAGAUGUUAGAGCUGUGAGGUAGGGAAGCGUGUAUAUAGGUGGCAACCAUGACUGAGGGGUGGUGUGGGGAGAAAUAGUAUCAGAAGGAAUUAGAGAGGAAUAAGGAAGGCAGAGGAAGGGAACGAGCAGAUAUGGGAAGUGGUGACACACAGAGAAUGGAGCCAAGGAGGCUCCGAAGCCCACCGCCAGAGCGGCCCCCAGCCAUGGCCGGAUCCAGACGAGCCGGGAGGCUCCUCUGCAGCCUGCAGGGCAGAGAGGAGAUAGCAGCUGCUGCUCGUGGAGAGGAGGCCGUCGUUCUGGCUAAGCGGUUAGGCAGUCUGUCGGCGGCCAGACCCUGGCCGCCAGCCAGCUCCACGCUGGGAGUGGAGUAACGAGUCUCCUGGCAGGCGGUGUUGAAGAGGAAGGACAGUGUGGGGAUAUGUGUAUUGAGAUCUGCAAACCUGAAGGCUCGACAGAAAGAAGGUUUGAUUCAGAAAGUUAAGGGGCUGAGCUCCAGGAGGCCAUCCCCAUCUUGUCCAGCCGCUAGAGGACAACAGCAAGAAGAGACCUUCCCAAUGGACCCUCUUCACAAUAAGGUGUUCUGGGAGGAGGUGACUGGCAGCCGUGAAGAAGAAGGGAUGGUCCCAAAGGACUUCAUGACUCAGCAGGGAACUCCAGAGCUUCUGACCUGUGGGGUGUGCUCCUAAAGCACAUCAGUGGGCCUUUGAGUGCCAAGAAUUGAUGAGACCUGGCCUCUCUGCA